rnacentral:lncRNA from 1 species
GCAAUUACAAUUACAGUGUUUGCAAGAAAAAUGGGGUAGCUCACCUACUGUUUAUCUUGCUUUGCCAAUUUCUUGCCUAUUGUUCCAGAGUAUAACCAAAAACAAUAGUGACAACAGGCCCAGAGGAAGAGUGUCAACUUGCUUGAUUUGCUAGCCUAUUAUUCCAGUUUGUGGCUGCUAAACUUAUUGUUCCAGUUUGUACUCUUUGUGUCUGCUCCUAUUCCAAUCUUCUUCACAGUAUCAACUUGCUUGAUCAACACAGCAGAGAGGAAUCACCUACUGUUGACACUGACAACAAAAGUUACUCUCACUGUUUA